AUAUUCAAAAUUGGUGAACCUUUGUUCAGAAAUGUGCAUUUGAGAAUGUUCCUGGUCUAGUCAGAGGCAAGGUGCAUCAGGCUGCUUAUCAGAAUCAUCUUCUAUCAUGUUCUCUAAAGCCAGAUCCUGAGGUGUUCCCUUGCCAACAUGGAGGUCUGAUUCCUCUAGCAUGUCCUGGGAUGACCCUCCUGGUGGCAGAUCACGCCUGACACCUCCUCUGGAAGGCAUCCUGACCAAACGUCCGAACCACCUCAGCUGGCUUCUCUCGCUGAGGAGGAGCAGUGGCCCUACGUUGAGUAGAACUGUUACGUUUGAGCAUCGACGUCCCAAAUGUACUUGUGCCAGAUAGUCACAUCAUAAGAGAAAGAAAAAGUGGGAGUUCACUUUUCAAAGUUGUAUUUUCACCAUGUUACUCAUACGUUUAUAAUUAGUCUGCAAGCUAAAUAUUUACUUUAGAGUUAAAUAUUUAUUUUACAAGCUAAAUAUUCAUUUUUGAGUGAAAUAUUUAUUUUAUAAUCUAAAUAUUUACUUUAGAGGGUAGAAAGUUAUUUUACAAGCUAAAUAUUUAUUUUCGAGUGAAACAUUUAUUGUCACGGUCUGAGGUAUUUCCCUGCUGUCACUCCCUGUCUUUUGAGUUUCCCUCUGCAGGUGGGCGUGUCUGGAGGUGACCAAGCUGCAGCAGAUCUGCUCAUCGGCUGGCCAGGGGUAUUUAAGCAGCUGGGAGACUCCUACACUUCGCUGGAUGAUUACUCUACCUGGACAAAACCUCCACACUCAUCUUCGACUGGCAGAACUCUGGAGCCCGCAUCAUCUGAAGCUCCAACCCCGCUCGUCUCUCAGCCUCUCCCCUGGCCAGAACCACCUCCAGCUGCCCACCUAACCCUCCUGGACCUCCCCAAGCUCAGCUCCCUCCACGUCUCACUCCUGGAUCUCAGUCCCUGCUACCCAGACCGGACCACUCCUCCCUCAAACCAGUCCCCACCUCUCCAGACCUUUUCCCGCACCAGCCUCCCUGCGCAAGAACUCAGCUUCGUUACGCUGCUCCCUUGGUUUCCCUUCAAUAAAUCCUUAUUUAAACCUUUUAAAACCGUCUCCGAUCUGAUUCUGUAUGUCGUGGGUUAGAUCACUU